rnacentral:lncRNA from 1 species
AAUAAGCUUAAUCUAGUAGAAUAAUUGAUGAAGAAGCUUCAGUAAGUAGAAACUUUGAAAGAUCAGAAAGAACAAUUGGAGAUUCUUCACAAGAAGAUGAUACAACCUCAAGAGAAUCAUGCAAAUAUAUCUUCAAAAAUAUCCCCGACAAAACGUCAAAAGAUUCUUAUGAAGUAUACUUUCAAACACGUGACGAAGAAGACCAUGUAUUUUUCAAGAGUAUAUUUGAUUUCUAUAAAAUAAUAAUAAAAUUAUUGGUUAAGAAAUAA